ACAAAAGGGUAAAAGCUCGU
rnacentral:snRNA from 1 species